rnacentral:rRNA from 1 species
GUGUCAGCCGCCGCGGUAAGACAGAGGUGGCAAGCGUUGUUCGGAAUUACUGGGCUUAAAGGGCGCGUAGGUGGUGGCAUAAGUCCGAGGUGGAAGACUAAGGCUUAACCUUAGAAUUGCCUUGGAAACUGUAUCACUUGAGUCAGCGAGGGGAUGGCGGAAUUCCAGGUGUAGCGGUGAAAUGCGUAGAUAUCUGGAGGAAGGCCGGUGGCGAAGGCGGCCAUCUGGCGCUGAACUGACACUGAGGCGCGAAAGCGUGGGGAGCAAACAGGAUUAGAAACCCCAGUAGUCC